UUAAGCGACUAAGCGUACACGGUGGAUGCCCUGGCAGUCAGAGGCGAUGAAGGACGUGCUAAUCUGCGAUAAGCGUCGGUGAGGUGAUAUGAACCGUUAUAACCGGCGAUUUCCGAAUGGGGAAACCCAGUGUGUUUCGACACACUAUCAUUAACUGAAUCCAUAGGUUAAUGAGGCGAACCGGGGGAACUGAAACAUCUAAGUACCCCGAGGAAAAGAAAUCAACCGAGAUUCCCCCAGUAGCGGCGAGCGAACGGGGAGGAGCCCAGAGCCUGAAUCAGUGUGUGUGUUAGUGGAAGCGUCUGGAAAGGCGCGCGAUACAGGGUGACAGCCCCGUACACAAAAAUGCACAUACUGUGAGCUCGAUGAGUAGGGCGGGACACGUGGUAUCCUGUCUGAAUAUGGGGGGACCAUCCUCCAAGGCUAAAUACUCCUGACUGACCGAUAGUGAACCAGUACCGUGAGGGAAAGGCGAAAAGAACCCCGGCGAGGGGAGUGAAAAAGAACCUGAAACCGUGUACGUACAAGCAGUGGGAGCCUCUUAAUGGGGUGACUGCGUACCUUUUGUAUAAUGGGUCAGCGACUUAUAUUCUGUAGCAAGGUUAACCGAAUAGGGGAGCCGAAGGGAAACCGAGUCUUAACUGGGCGUUAAGUUGCAGGGUAUAGACCCGAAACCCGGUGAUCUAGCCAUGGGCAGGUUGAAGGUUGGGUAACACUAACUGGAGGACCGAACCGACUAAUGUUGAAAAAUUAGCGGAUGACUUGUGGCUGGGGGUGAAAGGCCAAUCAAACCGGGAGAUAGCUGGUUCUCCCCGAAAGCUAUUUAGGUAGCGCCUCGUGAAUUCAUCUCCGGGGGUAGAGCACUGUUUCGGCAAGGGGGUCAUCCCGACUUACCAACCCGAUGCAAACUGCGAAUACCGGAGAAUGUUAUCACGGGAGACACACGGCGGGUGCUAACGUCCGUCGUGAAGAGGGAAACAACCCAGACCGCCAGCUAAGGUCCCAAAGUCAUGGUUAAGUGGGAAACGAUGUGGGAAGGCCCAGACAGCCAGGAUGUUGGCUUAGAAGCAGCCAUCAUUUAAAGAAAGCGUAAUAGCUCACUGGUCGAGUCGGCCUGCGCGGAAGAUGUAACGGGGCUAAACCAUGCACCGAAGCUGCGGCAGCGACACUAUGUGUUGUUGGGUAGGGGAGCGUUCUGUAAGCCUGUGAAGGUGGCCUGUGAGGGUUGCUGGAGGUAUCAGAAGUGCGAAUGCUGACAUAAGUAACGAUAAAGCGGGUGAAAAGCCCGCUCGCCGGAAGACCAAGGGUUCCUGUCCAACGUUAAUCGGGGCAGGGUGAGUCGACCCCUAAGGCGAGGCCGAAAGGCGUAGUCGAUGGGAAACAGGUUAAUAUUCCUGUACUUGGUGUUACUGCGAAGGGGGGACGGAGAAGGCUAUGUUGGCCGGGCGACGGUUGUCCCGGUUUAAGCGUGUAGGCUGGUUUUCCAGGCAAAUCCGGAAAAUCAAGGCUGAGGCGUGAUGACGAGGCACUACGGUGCUGAAGCGACAAAUGCCCUGCUUCCAGGAAAAGCCUCUAAGCAUCAGGUAACAUUAAAUCGUACCCCAAACCGACACAGGUGGUCAGGUAGAGAAUACCAAGGCGCUUGAGAGAACUCGGGUGAAGGAACUAGGCAAAAUGGUGCCGUAACUUCGGGAGAAGGCACGCUGAUAUGUAGGUGAAGCGACUUGCUCGUGGAGCUGAAAUCAGUCGAAGAUACCAGCUGGCUGCAACUGUUUAUUAAAAACACAGCACUGUGCAAACACGAAAGUGGACGUAUACGGUGUGACGCCUGCCCGGUGCCGGAAGGUUAAUUGAUGGGGUUAGCGGCAACGCGAAGCUCUUGAUCGAAGCCCCGGUAAACGGCGGCCGUAACUAUAACGGUCCUAAGGUAGCGAAAUUCCUUGUCGGGUAAGUUCCGACCUGCACGAAUGGCGUAAUGAUGGCCAGGCUGUCUCCACCCGAGACUCAGUGAAAUUGAACUCGCUGUGAAGAUGCAGUGUACCCGCGGCAAGACGGAAAGACCCCGUGAACCUUUACUAUAGCUUGACACUGAACAUUGAGCCUUGAUGUGUAGGAUAGGUGGGAGGCUUUGAAGUGUGGACGCCAGUCUGCAUGGAGCCGACCUUGAAAUACCACCCUUUAAUGUUUGAUGUUCUAACGUGGGCCCCUUACCGGGGUUGCGGACAGUGUCUGGUGGGUAGUUUGACUGGGGCGGUCUCCUCCUAAAGAGUAACGGAGGAGCACGAAGGUUGGCUAAUCCUGGUCGGACAUCAGGAGGUUAGUGCAAUGGCAUAAGCCAGCUUGACUGCGAGCGUGACGGCGCGAGCAGGUGCGAAAGCAGGUCAUAGUGAUCCGGUGGUUCUGAAUGGAAGGGCCAUCGCUCAACGGAUAAAAGGUACUCCGGGGAUAACAGGCUGAUACCGCCCAAGAGUUCAUAUCGACGGCGGUGUUUGGCACCUCGAUGUCGGCUCAUCACAUCCUGGGGCUGAAGUAGGUCCCAAGGGUAUGGCUGUUCGCCAUUUAAAGUGGUACGCGAGCUGGGUUUAGAACGUCGUGAGACAGUUCGGUCCCUAUCUGCCGUGGGCGCUGGAGAACUGAGGGGGGCUGCUCCUAGUACGAGAGGACCGGAGUGGACGCAUCACUGGUGUUCGGGUUGUCAUGCCAAUGGCACUGCCCGGUAGCUAAAUGCGGAAGAGAUAAGUGCUGAAAGCAUCUAAGCACGAAACUUGCCCCGAGAUGAGUUCUCCCUGACCCUUUAAGGGUCCUGAAGGAACGUUGAAGACGACGACGUUGAUAGGCCGGGUGUGUAAGCGCAGCGAUGCGUUGAGCUAACCGGUACUAAUGAACCGUGAGGCUUAACCUU
rnacentral:rRNA from 1 species